UCCCUGGUGGCUCAGAUGGUAAAGCGUCUGCCUGCAAAGCAGGAGAUGCGGGUUCGAUCCCUGGGUCGGGAA
rnacentral:tRNA from 1 species